rnacentral:rRNA from 1 species
AGAGCGAACGCUGGCGGCAGGCCUAACACAUGCAAGUCGAGCGCCGUAGCAAUACGGAGCGGCAGACGGGAGAGUAACACGUGGGAACGUACCCUUCAGUUCGGAACAACCCAGGGAAACUUGGGCUAAAUACCGAAUACGUCCGUAAGGAGAAAGAUUUAUCGCUGAAGGAUCGGCCCGCGUCUGAUUAGCUUGUUGGUGAGGUAAUGGCUCACCAAGGCUACGAUCAGUAGCUGGUCUGAGAGGAUGAUCAGCCUCACUGGGACUGAGACACGGCCCAGACUCCUACGGGAGGCAGCAGUGGGGAAUAUUGGACAAUGGGCGCAAGCCUGAUCCAGCCAUGCCGCGUGGGUGAUGAAAGGCCCUAGGGUUGUAAAAGCCCUUUCGGCGGGAAGAUAAAUGACGGUACCCGCAGAAGAAGCCCCGGCUAACUCGUGCCAGCAGCCGC